rnacentral:rRNA from 1 species
UGCUUGCAGGGUACUCGAGUGGCGAACGGGUGAGUAACACGUGGGUGAUCUGCCCUGUACUUUGGGAUAAGCCUGGGAAACUGGGUCUAAUACCGAAUAUGACCACUUCUUGGAUGGGGUGGUGGAAAGCUUUUGCGGUAUGGGAUGAGCUCGCGGCCUAUCAGCUUGUUGGUGGGGUAAUGGCCUACCAAGGCGUCGACGGGUAGCCGGCCUGAGAGGGUGUACGGCCACAUUGGGACUGAGAUACGGCCCAGACUCCUACGGGAGGCAGCAGUGGGGAAUAUUGCACAAUGGGCGCAAGCCUGAUGCAGCGACGCCGCGUGGGGGAUGACGGCCUUCGGGUUGUAAACUCCUUUCGCAACCGACGAAGCUUUUGUGACGGUAGGUUGAGAAGAAGCACCGGCUAACUACGUGCCAGCAGCCGCGGUAAUACGUAGGGUGCGAGCGUUGUCCGGAAUUACUGGGCGUAAAGAGCUCGUAGGUGGUUUGUCGCGUCGUUUGUGGAAUACCGCAGCUUAACUGCGGGGUUGCAGGCGAUACGGGCAUAACUUGAGUGCUGUAGGGGAGACUGGAAUUCCUGGUGUAGCGGUGGAAUGCGCAGAUAUCAGGAGGAACACCGAUGGCGAAGGCAGGUCUCUGGGCAGUAACUGACGCUGAGGAGCGAAAGCAUGGGGAGCGAACAGGAUUAGAUACCCUGGUAGUCCAUGCCGUAAACGGUGGGCGCUAGGUGUGAGUCCCUUCCACGGGGUUCGUGCCGUAGCUAACGCAUUAAGCGCCCCGCCUGGNGAGUACGGCCGCAAGGCUAAAACUCAAAGGAAUUGACGGGGGCCCGCACAAGCGGCGGAGCAUGUGGAUUAAUUCGAUGCAACGCGAAGAACCUUAC